UAAGCGGAGGAAAAGAAACUAACGAGGAUUCCCCUAGUAACUGCGAGUGAAGCGGGAAAAGCUCAAAUUUAAAAUCUGGCGGUCUUUGGCCGUCCGAGUUGUAAUUUAGAGAAGCGUCUUCCGCGCCGGACCGUGCACAAGUCUCCUGGAAUGGAGCGUCAUAGAGGGUGAGAAUCCCGUCUUUGGCAUGGAGCCCCCGGUGCUUCUGUGAUGCGCUCUCGAAGAGUCGAGUUGUUUGGGAAUGCAGCUCAAAAUGGGUGGUGAACUCCAUCUAAAGCUAAAUAUUGGCGAGAGACCGAUAGCGAACAAGUACCGUGAGGGAAAGAUGAAAAGCACUUUGGAAAGAGAGUGAAACAGUACGUGAAAUUGUUGAAAGGGAAACGCUUGGAGUCAGUCGCGUUGGCCGAGACUCAGCCUUGCCCUCGGCUUGGCGUACUUCUCAGCUAACGGGCCAGCAUCGAUUUUGCCCCUCAGAUAAUGGCAAGGGAAAGGUGGCACCUUUGCGGGUGUGUUAUAGUCUCCUGUCGCAUGUGAGGGGUGGGAUCGAGGAACUCAGCACGCGCCUCUCGGCGUCGGGGCUUCGGCCCACGUUACGUGCUUAGGAUGUUGGCGUAAUG
rnacentral:rRNA from 1 species